GUUCAAAUCGACGUAAGUCAGAUUGGUUUCUAUCUAUAAAAAAAUAAUAAAUUAUUUGUACG
rnacentral:tRNA from 1 species